GCGACAACUAGCUCAGUUGGUAGAGCGCAACCUUGCCAAGGUUGAGGUCACGAGUUCGAACCUCGUGUGUCGCUCCA
rnacentral:tRNA from 1 species